rnacentral:tRNA from 1 species
GCCACUAUAACUCAGUGGCUACAGCGUUGGUCUCGUAAACCAAAGGUCGCAAGUUCGAAUCUUGUUGGCGGCA